GCUGUGGUUGGCUCAGUGGUAGAGCGCUUGUUUGGUGUACGUGAAGACCUGGGUUCCAUCCCCAGCAUUGCU
rnacentral:tRNA from 1 species